rnacentral:rRNA from 1 species
AUUGAACGCUGGCGGCAGGCCUAACACAUGCAAGUCGAACGAGUGGCGGACGGGCGAGUAAUGUCUGGGAAACUGCCCGAUGGAGGGGGCUAACUACUGGAAACGGUAGCUAAUACCGCAUACCAUCGGAUGUGCCCAGAUGGGUUUAGCUAGCAGGUGGGGUAACGGCUCACCUAGGCGACGAUCCCUAGCUGGUCUGAGAGGAUGACCAGCCACACUGGAACUGAGACACGGGCCAGACUCCUACGGGAGGCAGCAGUAGGGAAUAUUGCACAAUGGGCGCAAGCCUGAUGGAGCCAUGCCGCGUGUAUGAAGAAGGCCUUCGGGUUGUAAAGUACUUUCAUCGGGGAGGCGUUACCCGCAGAGGAAGCACCGGCUAACUCCGUGCCAGCAGCCGCGGUAAUUC